rnacentral:tRNA from 1 species
UCCCUCAUAGUUCUGUCGGUAAAGAAUCUGCCUGCAAUGCAGGAGACCUGGGUUUGAUUCCUGGGGUGGGAA